GGGGUUGUAGUUCAGUGGUGGAGUGCUUGCCUCGCAUGUAUGAGGCACUGUGUUUGAUUCUCAGCACCACA
rnacentral:tRNA from 1 species